UCCCUUCGGUGCUGACCCCGUCGAUGGCUGAGAUGAUGUCGCCUUGGGCCAGACUCCCACCCGCCGCCUUGCUGCCUGGGGUUAUCUAUGGGAGAGAGGUCAAGAUGGCAGGUCACUCACACCGCUGACGCAGAUUCCUCAGGCUUCAGCUCCAGUUGACCAGAUGUCAAAAAUAGUGAGUGGACUCUUACAGCCGCAGGCAGGUGUGUGGAGGCCUGGAGAUUGAUGUCCAACAUGGAGAUGUCCUCAGGCUUGUUCAGGCUCUGGACAACAUAAACAAGACCUGCGGCGCAGCAGUGGAAGUACACAACAACCCAAAGAACUUUGGAACGCCGCCGAGUACAAAAAUACUACAGAUUCAGAUAAAAGAUUAUCCACCAUAUAAUGCUGAGUGACGAAAGCAGAUGGAGGUCAGAGACUUCUAGAAAAUCUGUCGUCUUGGUCUGGCAACAACUGCUGUGUGUGGAAACUGGGGUCACAUCAUGCAAAUUGAGGAUUAAGUCUGAAACUAACAGAUUAGUGGAUUAGUACUUUUUUUUUUACCCUGUGUGAAGCAGUCCCUAGUCAACCCGACCUGCAUGGCACCACGCCUACAUCAGUCAGUUAAAUACAUGCAUACAUGUGUCCUUUUUUCUGAGAAAUAAGAUGAUUAUACAGAGACGGAAAUGCUCUACAUACAUGUCCCAAAUAAACCAAGUCGCCUGACAGUCAGCACUGUGGGCACCAAGUGUUGCUUAUUCUGCAUAUGAAGUGCUUUAAAUGUCCUUCAAAAGUAACUACUCGUCUUGCUUUUGGCUGAGCGUUAACUUUAUAGAGAAAUCCAUAAUAGUGGAGUGUGACGUAACCAGUUUGAAAUGAAACAUCCAAACUAAGGAUUGUAAAGACUAUUAAUUUUCAAUCUGUUUAUUGAACUCUCUCAGGAGAAUGUAUGGCCUCGACACAGGAAACUUGGCAAAUGUGUAACUUCAUUGGCUUUGUCAAGGAAGCAAAGACAUGGGUGGAAAAUACAUGUUAGAGCCUCAAGUUUAGCUUUGGAAUGGUGUUCAUGAGACAAAAUAUAUACUAGUACACCUUUUCUCAUGUUUCAUAAAUUCAUAAAUGCGUUUUAUGAGUAGUUAGCCUAGUUGUGGUUGGAUUUCUGAGCCCACCUGAUCCAAACAAACCUAAUCCUAAAAGCUCUUUACAAAAGGGAACUUCAGAUUGUCGACCGCAUGCCGGAGAAUCGAACUACCUGCAGUGAUACACCGUAGCGUUCAUCCAACUCCUUAAGCCUCAGCAAGAGAAAAAAUGGAGCGCUAAACUGCUGAGCAACAACUGUAAAUGGGCGCCAUACCAACAUGACCUAACCACUAUUGUGUCUGAAGGCAAAUGAGAGAAGUCAGGUUGAAUUUUUCUGAACCAAAAUCAGGACGAUUGUAUCAAGAACAGAACAAACACACCUUAAAUGUGUCAACUCUGAUCUGCUGUUUUAACAGUUCCUGCGACUGGUUUUGCCACUACAGAUCACUUCCUUGCUUGUUAGGGAGCUGACUUAGUAUAGUAUGGAUUAUGUCACUGACCAAGACCUGAGCGUCUCUGCUGCACUACCUUCCUGUCUCCUGUGGAAUGAUUCUCUCAUGAAGCUAAUUGUCCUGGUUGAACACAUUUAUCUGGCUUUAACUAAUUUGCUUCUUUCAGCCCUCUAUUCCGACAGUUGCUGCUUAGCUAGCACGACCAUCAAAACACAACAAGCCCAUCGCUUUGUUCCCACCGCCAUGGUGAGUGGGGGCCACAUGACCAGUCCAUGACGGACUCUUUUGUGUGAAAAGUGACCCAGUUAUGCAUUAUUUCACUCUGGCUUUCCUAUCUCCACCUCUUUGUUUUUUCUGCUUUAUGAUCGCUGCCUCUUUACACAUGAUGAAGUGUGUGGAAUAGUGUUUUCUGGACUCUUUCUUGACUAUUAACGUCUCUUUCUAUUAUUCUCAAUGUCGACAGUGUGGGUUAGUGAGUGACGUUUCUCUUUUUUAUUCAGUGGAAAUGCACGUUUUGUUUUUAUUGAUUUGUUUAUGAACCAGAGUCGCAGCAAACCACUGGUGGUCACAGUUAUGUUGUGACUUGCUUUGGUUUUCUUCGUGUCUGUCGCUCCAGCUAAAGAGCGAGGUCGCCAGCACACUGAUGACUGACUUGAGUUGCUUUGCGGUUUUAGAAAUGCAUCUUUUACGUGGCGCAUUAUUGAUGUUCUUGAGUGGUUCACAUUUUGUCAGUGAGUAUAAAGUUCCUUUGUGACAAGUGCAAUGUUUUACAAAUAAUGAACAACAAUAUUUGGCAUAAAACUGUUUAAAUGGUAUAAAAUGGUUCAAAGAUGUGCAUAACAAAACAAAAAAAAUAAAAUAAGCUAUAUUUUGUUUUCGAUCGACAAUCGAUUUCUCUAACCUGGCACAGACGGAGCUCAGGUUUUGUUUGAGUUUUAUUUGCUAAAAACUUCGUUUGUGCUGUGGAUGAGGAAACAUCGUGUGAUUGUGACCGUUUUAGCAGCCUUGAGGUAAGAGGCCGCUGACUCCAAGGUUGUUGCGCGGCUCAUACAUUUCAUGCUUUCUGUUAGAAUACCUAGCCAUUCAACAGCUGCUAAUGUUCCUAACUUUUCUCUGCAGAGAUGUUUAGCAUUGUUUUUUGACACCGAAGGGCUUCAGAGUAUCAAGACAUGCAAGAGAUGCUGAUUCUGUCCCAUCAAUAUUCGUUGAGGACAUCACGGAAGUCAGUGAGUUCAUUUGAAGAGUUUCUUUUAAGAUGUCGCAGAGUUGGCGCCGGAGCUCAGAUAAUGGGAAGGUGCUCCUUCCUCCGUGUCUGGAAUUAUGUAUUAAAACGACUAGGCUGAACAAGAGCUUGCUGAUGUCGCAGCCAUUUUCUCUUCUCUGACACUACUUUCUAUCUUGUAGCCGACGAUUGCAGAGAUAAAGAACACUGACAGGAGGAGGAACUCCUCUCAGGGACAUCUGACAACUGCAGUAAUGACAGUGUUAAACUUUUGCUGAUUCAAUCAAUCUUCAAUCCAGUAACUGCCGAGUCACGCCAGUGUCAUAACACUUGUGGAAUCUAAGGUCACCUGCAUGAAAUUCAAUUGUAUUUGUACUCACCAGAUUGUGUGACAGGUGAUAUAUAGCAGGGUCAAUGCAGUUGUAUGCUGCAGUUCUCACAAAUUCUUCCGUACCAUGACCCAUCACCUUUGACCUCUGACUGGAUCGCCGCGUGUGUUUGACAUCACCAGACAACCGAUGACUUACAGGUGUUUGGAAGGCAUUGCCCUCCUCUGUGUCUGAGAAACCAGCCUAAGAACAGACAGAAUUCAGGACAUCAGAGUCUUGUGUUCAAACUCGGGAGAAGUGGAGGACAAAGACAUACCAUGUAAGAGAUUUGGGACACUCACUGAUUCACUUUCAGACUGGGACGAGCUGCGUGUCUUGCCCAGGCGGUUGCUCUCAGACUGGCUGGUGAGGGUGGAACGUCUGGUGGACUGGAAGCUGCUGCUGCUGAAAUAUUCUUUGCUGGUAAUGCACAGCAACACAGCCAGAUAUGGGAUGUACCUCCUGAUGGCUGCCCUGAGGGACAAGAAGGUGAACAUUUGAAAUCGCCAGCACUUUCUGACGUCUCCUGUCGAGAGGAUUCAGCUUCACACUUUGGCUGCCUUACAUCUCUAAUUGAUUCUGCUCAUCUUUAAAUUUAGACCUUUCACACUUUUGAAAUUUUCCAUUCGCUAACUGUUCAGUUAGAACAGAUGUCAGAAAUCUGCGGCUAAAAACAACAAAAGUAUUAUACAAUUGGUCAGUUGUUUACACAACAGGGACAUGCAUACCGACUGAGAUUAGAUAAAUGUGUCAUCUCUUCUGCUGCUUACAAACAACUCUUAACCACAUCCCAUGUAUGCCUCUUUCACUGGUCUUCUGUCAACGUCUGUCCUGAAACAGUACUUUUUACUGAUUUUGUUAACUGAAAUCCGUGUUCAUUCAUGCGGCUCUGUCUUCUGCCUCGUGGCCCUCAUCGGUAGCAAAAUGAAUUAUCAUUUUAACAGCUGGUCUCAGGUCUGCCUGGAAGCGUCUAGAUCGCAUUAAUGGUCAGGCAGCACGUAAAGUGAAGACCUUGCUAAGUGACUAUACAGUAACAUUUCAGGAAUCUAACAGGCUAAUAGACUCACUCUGGAAAUCUAUAGCGCGCACACACACACACUUGUAUGCAAGCUAUAUUGUGUCAGAAGUCAGAUUUAAAAAUAAGCUAAUUAAUACAAUUCAAGCAUGUAACUGUGUAGUUACUGUGUACCUGUAUUUUGGAUGUGUAAUGGCAUAUAUGAUGGGGUUGUGGAUUGCAGAUGCUUUGGCAAUGACUGCAGGGACGGAGUUCAUAUACGGGGUCAAGAGGUCUGCAUACCUGAGAGGGAGGGCAGAGAAAAAGACAAGAAUGGAUGGAAAUGAAGAAAAACGAGAGAGAAAUUAGAAUGGUCAUGACUGUAAAUACAGUGACACAAGUCAAAACACACUUGUACAGUAGAAUGAGCAAUAGAUGACUUAGAUUAGAUUACACAAUAUCACAUCAUAUACACGUCACAAUGGUGAGAUGAUGGUUACUGACUGCUUUGGAAGUGGGACUACUGCAGCUGCCUGGUGAGCAGGUUGCCAUGUUGCCUCUUUCGCACAGAAUACACGCAGAAUACAGUGUACUGUUAAACAUCGGAACUUGGUUGACACUGUUGCCAUGAGUGACGUGUUCAACCAAAAUCGUGAACGUCAAUCGCAAAUCGUACAAUGUGGCCAUUCGGCCGACCAAGAUAGUUGAGACACUAUUGUAUCGUAUAGCUACAGUAAACACAAGCAACAAUUGUGAACAAGAUUGUGUAUUCUGACCAAGCCAUAAAACGUGCUUUUGUUUAAAUAAGAUAAGUGGAAUGCAAGGUGAGUAAUAAGUUAAAGGGACUUUUGUUAUACCAGAGUCAUUAACCAAGUCACUCAAAAUGCUGUAACGCAAUGGAAAAGUAAGUUGUGUGUAAUGUUAAUGCAUUUACUGAUUAGCUGUGUACAGUAGGUAAGUAAGACAUUAGUGCUCAGCUGCAGCCUUGAGAUAAGCACUUUCAGACCACAGUCUCCGAGCGGACGUCGAGAGAUGUGUGUUACAGGCCCAGAAGUAGGGAAACGGCAGUAUGUCUAAUACGGCAAUAUUUAAGUACAUACAGCACAACUUUCGGUUAAAGAAAACCAAGUCCAAAAUCGGGGUUAGUGGCCAGCUCAAUUUGUUGCUUCUCCUCCGCUGUCGCUCCAUUGUUCCGUGCAUCAAUGGCGCCAUCAAUGCAGCUCUGAAAAUACUGUGCUGCAGAUGGAUGCCACUUUCACGUGCAAUGUCAUGUCACUCAUCCAUUCACCUAGCUCUGCCCUCUCACGGUCUCAGUUGAGAUUGUUUAUUCAUAGUGAUUAAGAAAAUAAAAUGUCUUUACUUUAAAUGCUACCAAGUUUCAUAAACCAAAUCAUAGCAGCUCUUCAUGAAUAUGAAUUCCUCCUCUGUGUAACAUAGAUGAACGUAAAAAAUAUAAUCUGUAAUAAUGAAUAUUUGUCUGUCUUCAUUUGAUUUGGCACAUUUUCCUAGCUGACUUAGUAUUAGCAUCGGAACUGGUGAUGGUUGAGGGGUUUUCUGAAGCUCACUUCAAAACAAUUGUGGUUACACUUUUAGAUCUGAGAAAAUAUACUGUAUAAACUUGUGAGUUUUAGCAGCCAGUAGCUAUUGAUAAAGUUCCGAUUAGCAUGACUGUAUCCUGGAAUGAUCAACAAAAGUUCACUCUAGUGACCACAUAAUGACUCACUAUUGAAAGUGAGCUAUAAAAGCACUGUGAAAGAGCCAGCCUCUGCCAAUCAGCUUCAGUCCACCCUCAACACAGUCUCCCAUUGAAUGUACCCUUCAAAAAAAAUCCAAAUGCCAAUCUGCCAAAAGGCCGAAAAUGGUCCCUUGGUCCCUUUGGAAAAAAAAAAUCCAGGAUCCAGAUCCGGAUCACUCUCAAUAUUGAAUCACUUGUUCUGUGUCCCUUUUCACACAUUGCCUGGAAAUUACAUCCAAAUUAAAUCUGUCCUUGACAUUUCAAGUUAUUUUGAACACGAACAGUCAGACAGAUGAACCAACACCGUCAAACAUAACCCUCUUGGUGGAGGUAGUAAGCAAGUAAUUACUUCAUUAAUGGUUAACAUGUGUUCCCAAAUGUCAAGUGUAACCACAAUUGCAAAUGGAGUCAAUGCCAGGUGUGAACAUUCUUUCUAUCUCUUGCAUUGAAUCGGGACCUACCCGGCGAAAGCGG